rnacentral:lncRNA from 1 species
UGUGACGAAGGCUAGCCUGUAUACCUAUGAAAUUCAUUCCCUGCAAGGCUGUGGAGGGUUGAGCAGGUACAGGCACCACGGCCAGGCACAAACUCUGUGUUAUUUUUGUGGGAGCAAAGAAGAAUUCUUCUAGUUCCACAAGGUGCGGCAAUAUGAAAAAAUGAUAGUUGGACAAGGAUGAACUCAGAGGUAAUUUCUAACAAGAGUAGGGAUAAGGAGAGGAAGCCAGGACUGUGAUGUGAGCACAGAGUGGAGUGCUGGGAAAACAUGGGAUCUGGACUUGAGCCCCAAGUCUACCCUGGACAGCUGAGUGAUUUUGGGUUGCUGACAUCUAGGAUGACUUGGGAAGUUACACGUUGAGUACAGAAGAGCCUUUCUCAGCCCAGGUUCCUG